GACAGAGGAUGCAAGCGUUAUCCGGAAUGAUUGGGCGUAAAGCGCGUGUAGGCGGCCAGAAAAGUCCGCUGUGAAAACUCGAGGCUCAACUUCGAGCUGUCGGUGGAAACUUUCUGGCUAGAGUCCGGAAGAGGAGAAUGGAAUUCCUGGUGUAGCGGUGAAAUGCGCAGAUAUCAGGAAGAACACCCGUGGCGAAGGCGGUUCUCUGGGACGGUACUGACGCUGAGACGCGAAAGCGUGGGGAGCGAACAGG
rnacentral:rRNA from 1 species